CUGCCCUAUCUAGAGUUCAUCUAUUCCUCCCAUGUUCCCCCUCCCUACACCACUAUGAGUCAGCCUCCUUAGAGAAAACAUUCCGCAUUUAUUUGCCAGAGGGAGGGGGGGAUUGGUGCAGCCACCUCUUUGUAAACACAGACUUUUGAUAAUGCAGGUGUGUUGGUUCCACCUUGUGACAGAAUCUUGAACUGCAACGUGAAAAUGGCCGAGCAGGAAAGUGGGAGGGAGGGAAUCUGACCAAGCACAUCCUAUAGAACUUUCUGGAAGCCUGUGUAUAAAAGGGGACAUUGCCAAUGUGUAGGUAGGUAUACUGAGGACCUCCACACAGAAAAUGAAGUCUAUCAUUAUUGGGAAGAGAAAGCUCUAUGUGAGAGGACCAAAAAAAAAAAAUGUUGUUUUUAUACUUUGAAACUUCUGGAUAAUUAGCUGGAGACAUACAAACAAAAAAGGAUUCACACUAAUUAUGAUUUUUGGAAAGCAAAUUUCCCCUUAAUUAAUAUAGGCAUCAUUCCAGGAAGAUAUAUUUCAGAUUGCAUUUUUAAUUUUCAACAAAAUUUUAGGCUUUCCCCCCACUGACUGGGUUUUUCAUUGUGUGGAUACCCCAGAAUUGUUAGGAUCAAAGUAAUGAAAAUUUAGUUUCUUUUACAGUUUUCCAAUGACAAAUGAUAAUGUACCAAACACCCUGUUAUCACAAUAUAUGUACUUACAUACACCACAUAAUACAUGUAUACCUAUGCAAAUGUUUGUAAGCAUUUCUGUUGACAUAAUGACUUGUAACUGUUCUUAUUCAUUUAUAUAUCUAACAGUGAAGCAUAAAAGUACCUAUGUCUCCACACAUGAGAGACAAUGAAAAUCAUUGCUAAUGUAAUAGUGAAAGGAUCUUGUGUCAUUGUUGUCAUUAUGACUUGUUUUUGCUACCUUAUGGAAUUCAUUCCUAUGCAUGUAAAAUAAUAUUCACAAUGCUGAAUUAUUUAGAGUGUUUUUAUAGUUCCUACUGUCAACCCUGUGUGCAUUGCAUUUUCAGAAUAUAAUCUGCUUAAGGGCACAGUUUAAGGCACAGUUCACACCAUCGUUUGAAAGGUGAGAUAAAUGGGUUCUAUGUGAGCCUAGCAAACUGUCUUGGAAGAUUCUCAUAUGAUAACAGUUUGGGUUUUAUAGGAGUAUGUGUAAGGUGUGUGUGUGUGUGUGUGUGUGUGUGUGUGAAAAAGUGUGUGUAUGCAUCAGCAAGUGACACUGUGUGUUUGUGCAUGCACGCAUAUGGUGACAACCACAUUUCUGUAUUCUUUUUCCUUCUUCAUAGAUUUGCAUCCUGUUUGGCCUCCCUUCCUACAUUCAGGUCCAAAAGUGAAGGAAGAGAAUUCUCAGCAUGGCAUCCUUAUAACCUAAGCCUUAUUGACAUCCUUCAUUCCAUCCUGAAGAUGACUUGUGAGAGAGAAAGUGUUGGUACAACGUGUGUGCCACUUUGGAGCCCUCUAAUAAGUGAUACCAUCCUAACAUUCAUAAAGGUAGUGCUGCUUGAACUGCCCAAGGCCACGGAGGAGUAAAGAGAGUAACAGUACUGAUAGUCUGUCACAGAGGACAGGACUUGGACCCUGUAGAGGACCCACUAUCAAACCUGUGCUGCAGGUGGAGGUGAUGAGGUGUAAAUUAGCUUUUAUGCAAAUGAGCAACCCAAGGGAGCAUGGGUGGUGGGAAGGAGGGGGGACAGUCAUUGUUUGGAGUUACACAGGACAUAGAGUCGUCAGGGUAGAAUACAGCACAGUAUUAUAAAGUACAUGUGCAUUAAACAACUUGCUAAGAGCCAAGUUUGAGUGUUAUUGUGAUACAAUGGAAGCUCAGAUCAAUAUAGUAUUUUUCACAACAUUCUUGCAAUAUAAUUUGAAAUUCAAUUACCCAUUUACCCAUUUUAAGGAUACAGCUUGAUGGUUUUCAAUAUAUUUAUAAAGUUGAGCAACCAAGUAUUAGCUAUUUCCAUCACCCUAUAAUAUAGCAUUGUGCUUAGUUAAAAACUGGUCCUCACCACAGCCCCAGGAAAUGCAUGUUUGUGUCUCUGGAUUUGCCUGUUCCAUACAUUUCAUAUGAAUGGAAUCACACAAUAUUUGGUAUUUUGCAUCUGGAUUUUUCACCUGUUAUCAUGGUUGAUCCCUAGUACAUCAGGUUAUUUCUACUUUUGGGCUGUUGUUCAAGAUGAUGAUGCUACAUAUAUUCCUGUUCCAGUUUAUAUGUAGACAUGGGUUUUCAUUUAUCUUACUUGUGUACCUGGGAGUGUAAUUGAUGACACAUAUGAUAACUCCCUGUUUAAUGGUGAGAAGAAAUGCCAAGCCAUUUUCAUGACCUUGGAAGGCUUGAGGAUCACCUGCUGAGCCUGUUAUUUUCUCCAAUUAGACUGUAAUCAUGGGUUUUGAAGCAUUUUGAAGAUUUGAAGCAUCUUCUCAUCGCAUUCUUUCUGGGAGUAUAGGAUAUCCAUGUGACAUCACUGGUGACACUAAACUUCAUCACUUGGUUAAGCUCUUCCUCUGGUGACUGAACUCAUAUCAAGUGCCUGAAGAAGUUUCUCUGAAUGUGGGUCAUGAUAGCUGCUGAAGUUUCUACUCCAGAUCCAAAGGUCCACAGUGCUCAGGAGACCCCUGAUACUUCCAUCCCUGAUUCCAUGUGCUUUCUGCUCUCUUGUAAGAAUGAAUUAGCUAGACUGAUGCUGGGAGUCAUCCAGCAUGCAUCCUGGAUGCCACAGCCAUCUACUGACCAUAAGACCUUAAACUUGCCCCAGAGGAGUGUCAUCUCAGAUGAUCCUUAAACUUACACAUUCUGAGGCCACCACAUAGUGUCGUCAGAUAUGGCAAGCAAAAAUACAGGAUGCUCAGUUCUACACCUGGGGAAAUAUAUAGGGUAAAACCAAGUACUCCAGUCAACAGACCAGGCUGAACUCCCAGGAAAUGCUAGUACCACUCAUCAUUAAUGGAGCUCUUCCUCUGGUAACUGAGCUCAUAUUAAUUGUCUGAAGAAGACAGUUUCUGAAGAUGUGUGCCAUGAUGGCUGCUGAAGCUUCUACUCCAGAUCUGAAGAGCAAGCAGUGCUCAGGAGGCCCCCCAACACUUCCAUCUCUGCUCGAGUACCUUCUUGGAGCUCCAGAAAAAAGUAACACUGGAUCUUCAGAGAGGGACACCAAAACAAGAGUGAGAAGCUCUUCCUAGACUGUGCCUUAGCUGCCCCAGAUUAAACAUUGGUGAAGGAUGUGGAUGCUAUACAUAACCAGGAGCUCAUGGAGAGGAAGCUAGUGUGGUGUGGGCUGUUAGAGGAGCUAUUGGAAAAGAGUGGACAGGACACAGGGACACUAUAGUGAUGCUGCAUGACCAUACUUAUGCACAGGCCCUAGACUUUCUGCAGACCAGACCUAAGAGUACAGCAACUGACAGGGGUCUCACUUGCUUCUUCCUUAAAUGUUGACCUGUCCUAGUGAAAUUGACAUCUCAGAUGACCUUUAAACUUACACAUUCUGAGGCCAUCACAUGGAAUUAUCAGAUGUAGCAAAUAAAAAUACAGGAAGCUAAGGCCUGCACAUGGGUAACAUAUAGGGUGGAACCAAGGUGCUCCUGUCAACAGCCCCAACUGACCUCCCAAGAAAUGACAUCAGCACUCAUGAUCCAUGGAAGUGAGCUCUCUUGGGUAUUCCAGAUGAGUGGAGCUCCAGAUAACAGAGAUGACAACACCAUUUAGCCUUAAAUGACAGAUACCACAUAGAGAAAAAGUACCCAGUUAUCCUUGUCAAUACACAGACUCCAGAAUGAUAAUAAAUGGGUAUUGCUUGAGAGUUUUAAGCAAAAAUGGAAAUCACAUUCUUGUGGCCUAACAUGCAGUCUUUCUUUUUUGUGUGUGGUUUGCUAUCAUUGCACAAUAUAGGAAUUCUCUUAUCCCUGAAACUUGGCUAUAACUUUGGCUAUAAUCUGUAGGGCAGUUUGUGUGUAGGUGUCAAGUUCUGAACAUUUCCUGAAUUCCUCUGUGAAGGAAUUUCCAAAAGAAUUUUCUCUAUAUGAUUUUCACACCUCUACUGAAGUUUGGAACCUAAUUCCAACCCAUCUCCAUAAGAUGAGCAUCCACUGCCAUCACUCAUAUUCAGGAAUUGAGAAUAUUUUAGUACAAACUGUACCCUGAGCCAUAUGAAAAACUAUCUUUAGCAGGUUGUGUAAUGAGUGUGUAACAAUGACAAGGGACAUUUAUUCACCUUAAAAAGUGUUGUCCUGAAACACUGUCUCCUGCUACAGGGGUUGCCCUUGGCAAGAAAGUCACUUUCAUUAGGGGUCACACAGGCAAGACUCCUUCAGUAGACAGCUGAUAGGUAAGUAUUGCAGGCCUUGGCCUUUGUGACUGUCCCUAAAUAGCCCUACAGGUUGGAUAAGUCUGCCCCAUUCUGGGGAUCAUUAGUAGGAAGAUGACUGGCAAGCCAGUCUAAGUCACAUUCUUCAAUAUCAGCUUUAUAGGAAUAACGUUGUUAUGAUGUUUUAUAUUUUGGUCCCAUAUCUCAGAUUUGGAGCAUCAGUGUCUUUUGGGUGCUCCUUAAAGACAUAAGCAUUGUGAAGUAAAAACAGGAAUAUUUGGAGCAAUAAAACAGAAAAAGUGGUCUGGGGAUAUAACUCAGUGGUGGAGUAUUUAUCUAGCAUGUGAAGGCCCUGGGUUUCAUCCCCAACACUGAAAAAGAAAAAGGAAGAAAGAAAGACAAAACAAAUCAAGAGCUGUGGGCCCAUUUUAAGAUCCACCCAGAGGUUAGAGAACAAGUGCUCCUAAAGGGCAGGUGACUACCAAGAGUCUUGAGGGGAGAGACCCUGGAUGUACAACCCCUAUUUAUCUUCCCAAACCAAGUCAUUCAUGUGAUGGAGAAGGAGUGAAUAUACAGAGAGGGAGAUGUGUUUUUGUCAGGAAUGUCUUUCCACAUUGAAGAAAAUAUCAGGGAUAGAGAUUAAGAAUUCCUCAGGAUUAACCAAUAUUGAAAAGAGUAUUGUUUCUCAACUGAAGAGAUUGUUAUUCUACUCCUGCCUCCUUGAAAUAAAUCAGAUUUCCAAAUGAUAAA